GACGAACGCUGGCGGCGUGCCUAACACAUGCAAGUUGAGCGACGAACCAGGGCUUGCCCUGGGGCAAAGCAGCGAACGGGUGAGUAACACGUGGGUAACCUACCCCGAUAACCGGGACAACCCGAGGAAACUCGGGCUAAUACCGGAUGUGCUCACUGGACUUCGGUUCAGUGCGUAAAGGAAGCUUCGGCCUCCGUAUCGGGAGGGGCCCGCGGCCCAUUAGUUUGUUGGUGAGGUAACGGCUCACCAAGACCGCGAUGGGUAGCUGGUCUGAGAGGACGAUCAGCCACACUGGGACUGAGACACGGCCCAGACUCCUACGGGAGGCAGCAGUGGGGAAUCUUGCGCAGUGCGCGAAAGCGUGACGCAGCAACGCCGCGUGGGGGAAGAAGGCCUUCGGGUUGUAAACCCCUUUCAGGAGGGACGAAGGUUCGGCGGUGAAUAGCCGUCCGGACUGACGGUACCUCCACAAGAAGCCCCGGCUAACUACGUG
rnacentral:rRNA from 1 species